UGAGGAUAGGAAAGCACAAGGUGGU
rnacentral:piRNA from 1 species